CAGCAGCCACGGGAAUACGAAGGGGGCUAGCGUUGCUCGGAAUGACUGGGCGUAAAGGGCGCGUAGGCGGCGGCCAAAGUCAGGCGUGAAAUUCCCGGGCUCAACCUGGGGGCUGCGUUUGAUACUUGGUUGCUUGAGUGGGGAAGAGGGUCGUGGAAUUCCGAGUGUAGAGGUGAAAUUCGUAGAUAUUGGGAAGAACACCGGUGGCGAAGGCGACUCGCUGGACAAGUAUUGACGCUGAGGUGCGAAAGCGUGGGGAGCAAACAGAAUUAGAUACCCCCGUAGUCCCUGUCUCUUAUAU
rnacentral:rRNA from 1 species